AGAGUAGUUGUGGUAGACAACGAUGAUCAAGCUAUUGGAUUUCACAAAACUCUCUUUAAGAGUGGUGUGACAUAAAAGGUGUUUUUUGUAGAGUUACUUACCUCAUGAGGAAGCUGUUGUUUUUGUUGUCUCCACUACAGGGCAAGGAGACUCUCCUGAUUCAGAGAACUUCAUGUAGCUACGGAUGGUUUAGUUCCAAGAGCAUUCUUGGUGAUGGUGGGUUUGGUAAUGUCUACAGAGGAAAGCUUGGAGAUGGGACAGUGGUUGCAGUGAAACGACUGAAAGAUGUGAAUGGAACUUCUCGGAACUCACAGUUUCGUACCGAGCUUGAGAUGAUCAGCUUAGCUGUCCAUAGGAAUUUGCUUCGGUUAAUUGGUUAUUGCGUGAGUUCUAACGAAAGACUUCUUGUCUACCCUUACAUGUCCAAUUGUAGUGUCGCCUCUAGGCUUAAAGCUAAACCAGCAUUGGACUGGAACACAAGGAAGAAGAUAGCAAUAGGAGCUGCAAGAGGUUUGUUUUAUCUACACGAGCAAUGUGAUCCCAAGAUUAUUCACCAAGAUGUUAAGGCGGCAAACAUUCUCCUAAAUCCACAGUUCAUGAAUCUGUUUCUGAUGGUAUGGUGUGGAUAUAUUUCAGGAGGUUUUGUUAUAGUCACUUGGCUCAACUAAAGCAUAUAUUACCAGAAGCGAUGGAGAUUAAGAGAGUGUUGAUACAUGACGAAAGAACUUGAUGUAUGAAACCAAACCUUCAUGUUACACUCAAUGCUGAUGCUGUUGAAUCCAAUGAUGACAAGUCGAAAUCUGAAACUAAGAAGAUAAAUCUCCGGAAAGUGUUCAGGGCUAGAGUUUGUUUUAUUUUUGGGAUUAAGGAAGAUUUACAGGCUGUGAAUUUUAUUUGGUUUUUAUUUGCUUUCUGAGAUUAAAGAGAACUAAGAUUGAAGAGCCAAAACAGAAAGUUGAGGAACUAUGUGAAUCAAAAGUGCAAUUAUCCGCCACGACCUCACAAGCUUGUCUUCUUCUUUAGAAACAACUCAAGGUACACACAACCCACAAAUCUUACUUAACAAAUCUGUUUUGGUUUUUUUCUCUGUUAUUGAAUUUGAUUUGUUCAGAGGAGAGGCAAAUCCGAAAUAGAUAAUCUAUCAUUGGUGUUUGUACAUGGAAGCUACCACGCAGGUUGGUGUUGGGCAGAACAUUGGUUACCUUACUUCUCUUAUUUUGGGUCUGAUUCUUAUGUUGUUAGCUUAUUAGGUUAGGUAAAUUCUAUAAUCAUAAAAGUUUUGGUUUUUAUGCUCAUAUUCGAUUUCCCCAUCAUCUACUUAUACUUUCAGGAACAUAAAGUUUUAAAGUUUUGAUUAGAACAAAGUGAUUUGUGUGUGAAUGUUAUGUUGUUAUCUCUGAAUCUUUUAGGGUGAAAGUGAUGAAGCUUUUGGAACAGUUGCUGGAACACUUCAGUAGAUAAUGAUAAUGCAGAUUUCAUCGAAUUGAAUCUUGGUUCUUCACCUCCAGUUCUUAUUGGUCAUUCUUUUAAAGGACUCAUUGUUCAACAAUACUUGGCAAAUGUUGUAAACAAACAAUCAUUAGGAUCAGAAAAUGCAUUCCCAGAACUUUCAAGGGCUGUAUUGGUUUGCUCGGUUACACCCUGGAUAACAGCUAACUUGUUACAUGAAUGUUUUUUAGAGUUUACAAAAUUUCUAACUCAGCACAUUUAGUUUUGGAUUUUAAUGGUUU